GAUGAAGAACGCAGCGAAAUGCGAUAAGUAAUGUGAAUUGCAGAAUUCAGUGAAUCAUCGAAUCUUUGAACGCACAUUGCGCCCGCCAGUAGUCUGGCGGGCAUGCCUGUUCGAGCGUCAUUUCAACCAUCAAGCCCCCGGCUUGUGUUGGGGACCUGCGGCUGCCGCAGGCCCUGAAAAGCAGUGGCGGGCUCGCUGUCACACCGAGCGUAGUAGAUUUCAUCUCGCUCAGGGCGUGCUGCGGGUUCCGGCCGUUAAACCACCUUCAUAACCCAAGGUUGACCUCGGAUCAGGUAGGAAGACCCGCUGAACUUAAGCAUAUCAAUAAGCGGAGGA
rnacentral:misc_RNA from 1 species